AUGACACAAGGUGUGCCUUGAGUAGAUUUUUCUUGACUAACAUCUGAGUUAAUCAAGAUGUUUCUUUUGAAUUAUAGGACUGAUGAUGUUAUCAACUCCAUAAAAAGAGACUUUACUUUCAAAAUUAUCUUUUUCUAGAGAGAGAAGCUCUGAACUAUACACGUUGUGAAAGCAGCCUCACUAAAAUUUGGAUUCCUUGCAUUUUCAGUCCAUUUCAGUUCUCAUGGAUAAGGGAGAGAAUUUUCACCAGCAUCUACCGUGGCCACUUUCUCCACAUCAAUGCUACAAUUUUGAAGAGGAAAUUUUGACAACAGGCUUUGCUCACCUUCUGCUCAUCUGGUGAGUGAAAAUCCAGAGGAAGAUAGAUGCCAGCUAAGGUAUUGACAAUGCAGUCACAGGUGAGUAGUGAAAUCUUUAACUGAAAUUGCACUUCUGUUGCUAGCAGAUGGGAAGUUUUCUCCUAUUGGUGUGGAUAUUCCAAAUGUGUUCAGAAGGCAUUCAAUUAAGUUUAUACUGGACUCUAAUAAGUAUGGUAAGUUAGGGACUGAACAAUGAGUAAUCUUUCAAGGUAAUUGCAAGAUUUGGUUCCAGCUUCCAUAAAGACUGUACUCUCUGAAAUGAUGAUAGAUGUUUCUUUUUCUCACCCAUCCCAUUGCCUCUUUGGAUAAAUAAAUUCAUGGAUCGUGUUUGUAUCUGAGAUUGGCCUUGGCAUGUAAUGAAUAGAGGUGACAGAGAUGAACAAGAAGAGAAGUUUAUAGUCAGAAGAGAGGCUGAGUUUUCAGCUGUGAAGUCAAGCCAGCAUUAAAGAUACUGUGUUGUAGGGGUAGGCUUAUUUGCCAAAAGCAUGAGAUUAGUAAAUUUAAGGAAAUGAGGAAUAAUUCAUUUUCCCCAAAAUUAAUUUUCUUAAAAUUUUGAUUGAGUAUAUUCACAACCUUAGAAAAUUUUUUCAAAAGAAAACUAAAAUUCACCUUACCACUGUUUUUCAAUUUCAAAUGUCAAUUUUCUAAAUAAAAUUCAAAUUUUAUAGAUGAUACAAUGUAUAGAAAUUGUUUUUUUUCCUUCAUUGAAGCUGUGGUUUCAGGAGCUUUAUAAUAGGUAAAAUAAAAUUUAUUUCUAUGUGAAAAUUUUUGAAGAUUUGGAGAGCCCAGGAGCAAUGAGUGGGAUUCUUUUAAUCUUUCACACACAGAUGAGAUGAUGUGAGACAAUGAUAACACAUUUGUAGACUCCAGAAAAAGUUGAGAUUGUAAAGUCUCCUUCCACAGGAAUUUUCAGUCUAAGGUCAACUAUCAGUGCAACUGUCUCAGGAGUCUCUGGCUCAUGACUCUGAACCAUCUGUAUUUAUACAUUACAAUGAAAACCUGAGUUAUAUAACACUGAGGAAAUCAAGACUUACUAAUUUGAUACCUAUUCAGUUUAGUAGAAUUCUGGAUAUUUUUUCAUUUACCUGCCAUUUUAAUGAAUAAUAGAACUGUGAAUUGCAUUUAGCUAAAAAGCAAUUAACACAUUACUUGCAUUUGUCAAAAUCUAUAACAUGUUCUUAAAUGAUUUUAUAAAAGAGAGGAAAGUGAGUACAUCUGUAUAGGGGAAUAAUCUAACCAUACUCAUUUUUUAAAAUGAUAUAUCAUGGAUAUUUUUUGCCUUACAAUAAAUAUAUAAAUUUACUUAAAAUUCUUGGGGAAGAUUUUUAGUUUUGAAUGCUCAAAUGAAAGCUUUAUAAUCAACGAAAAGAAGGCAUAAUUACAAGUUUAUUGGGAAAUUUCCAGGUGUAUAUAGCAUCCAUGUCAUGUGGCUUUCUUUUACUAUGGGGUGUUAUAUACUCAGAGUGUAUGUGUCUGUGAGCAUAUCUGAAAGGUAGAUGACAACUCAGCACUGAUAACAAUGUUACACAUUUUGAGUUUUAUAUACAGUUUCUGCUUCUUUAGUGCUGUUAUUUUGUACAUCAUACUCAGGACAUUGGGUAAGAUAAUGCUGUGUGAACACAAAUUUCUGUGAUGUUGUAGGAGUAUCUGACCAUCAAGGACGUGGCUGUUGACUUCACCCAGGAAGAGUGGGACCUGUUAGACACAUCCCAGCAAAAGCUGUUCAGAGAAGUGAUGCUUGAGAAUAUCAAUAACCUGGUCUCUGUAGGUGAGGCUUUC
rnacentral:lncRNA from 1 species